rnacentral:rRNA from 1 species
AUGGAGGCGGAGAGGUCCGCCGUAGAGGGGAUCCAGGUGCCGGAGAGGAGGAAGAAGGUGGUGAAUGCCACACAUCAGCAGUCGUCCUCCCACGCCAGACACGCCCAUGUUCUGUUGCUGCUGAUCCCGCAUCACGGUGCACAUAAACUGUUUGAGGUUAAAAUGACGGUUGUUCUUGGGGAGCUUGGAGGAAGUGAUGAGUAUUCGCUCCUCGAAUCCUUGAAACAAGGAAAGGUCGAGAAACCUGUUGUUGCUUGGGGUGCAGUGAGUGGUGGUGAGUUGGAAUCUACACAAGCUAAGAAUCAGGCACUAAGGGAUGCUGGGGCUGUUGUUCCUACUUCAUUUGAAGCUCUUGAAAGGAUUAAGGAUUUCAGAAGCUGGUUGAGGAAGGAAAAAUUCCUCCUGUCCCUGAGGUUACACCUCCCCCCAUUCCUGAAGAUCUUAAAACUGCCAUUGAAAGUGGGAAGGUCUGAGCUCUUACAAUUUAUCUCCACUAUCUCUGAGGAUAGAGGUUAG